GUAAUUGGCCAGACACAUUUGGGAAAGGGGAAACAAAUGAAGGUAGAGCAUGGCCCCUGCGCAAGGAUGACACGCUAAUUCGUGAAGCCUUCCUCAUUUAA